UGGNNGAGCAUGUGGUUUAAUUCGAUGCAACGCGAAGAACCUUACCUACUCUUGACAUCCAGAGAAUUCGCUAGAGAUAGCUUAGUGCCUUCGGGAACUCUGAGACAGGUGCUGCAUGGCUGUCGUCAGCUCGUGUUGUGAAAUGUUGGGUUAAGUCCCGCAACGAGCGCAACCCUUAUCCUUGUUUGCCAGCACAUAAUGGUGGGAACUCCAGGGAGACUGCCGGUGAUAAACCGGAGGAAGGUGGGGACGACGUCAAGUCAUCAUGGCCCUUACGAGUAGGGCUACACACGUGCUACAAUGGCGUAUACAGAGGGCUGCAAACUAGCGAUAGUAAGCGAAUCCCACAAAGUACGUCGUAGUCCGGAUUGGAGUCUGCAACUCGACUCCANNAAGUCGGAAUCGCU
rnacentral:rRNA from 1 species